rnacentral:misc_RNA from 1 species
GAUGAAGAACGUAGCGAAAUGCGAUACUUGGUGUGAAUUGCAGAAUCCCGUGAACCAUCGAGUCUUUGAACGCAAGUUGCGCCCGAAGCCAUCAGGUUGAGGGCACGUCUGCCUGGGCGUCACAUAUCGUUGCCCAAUGCCUAUUGCAGUGCAAUAGGAAUUUCUAGGGCGAAUGAUGGCUUCCCGUGAGCGUUGUUGCCUCGCGGUUGGUUGAAAAUCGAGUCCUUGGUAGGGUGUGCCAUGGUAGAUGGUGGUCGAGUUAGAACGAUACCGAUCAUGUGCAUGCUCCCCAAAAUGUGGCCUCUAUGACCCACACGCGUCUUUUGACGCUCAUGACGAGACCUCAGGUCAGGCGGGGCUACCCGCUGAAUUUAAGCAUAUCAAUAAGCGGAGGA